GCGAGAGUGGUGGAACGGUAGACACGCUAGAUUUAGGAUCUAGUGCCUUCGGGCGUGCGGGUUCAAGUCCCGCCUCUCGCA
rnacentral:tRNA from 2 species